rnacentral:sRNA from 1 species
UGAGUAGCAGCGAGCGGCCCGCGGGUUG